rnacentral:rRNA from 1 species
CCCAGACUCCUACGGGAGGCAGCAGUGGGGAAUAUUGCACAAUGGGGGAAACCCUGAUGCAGCGACGCCGCGUGGAGGAAGAAGGUCUUCGGAUUGUAAACUCCUGUUGUUGAGGAAGAUAAUGACGGUACUCAACAAGGAAGUGACGGCUAACUACGUGCCAGCAGCCGCGGUAAAACGUAGGUCACAAGCGUUGUCCGGAAUUACUGGGUGUAAAGGGAGCGCAGGCGGGCGAUCAAGUUGGAAGUGAAAUCCAUGGGCUCAACCCAUGAACUGCUUUCAAAACUGGUCGUCUUGAGUAGUGCAGAGGUAGGCGGAAUUCCCGGUGUAGCGGUGGAAUGCGUAGAUAUCGGGAGGAACACCAGUGGCGAAGGCGGCCUACUGGGCACCAACUGACGCUGAGGCUCGAAAGUGUGGGUAGCAAACAGGAUUAGAUACCCUGGUAGUCCACACCGUAAACGAUGAUUACUAGGUGUUGGGAGAUUGACCCUCUCAGUGCCGCAGUUAACACAAUAAGUAAUCCACCUGGGGAGUACGACCGCAAGGUUGAAACUCAAAGGAAUUGACGGGGGCCCGCACAAGCAGUGGAGUAUGUGGUUUAAUUCGACGCAACGCGAAGAACCUUACCAAGUCUUGACAUCCUCUGACGAACGUAGAAAUACGUUUUCUCUUCGGAGCAGAGAGACAGGUGGUGCAUGGUUGUCGUCAGCUCGUGUCGUGAGAUGUUGGGUUAAGUCCCGCAACGAGCGCAACCCUUAUGGUCAGUUACUACGCAAGAGGACUCUGGCCAGACUGCCGUUGACAAAACGGAGGAAGGUGGGGAUGACGUCAAAUCAUCAUGCCCUUUAUGACUUGGGCUACACACGUACUACAAUGGCGUUAAACAAAGAGAAGCAAGACCGCGAGGUGGAGCAAAACUCAGAAACAACGUCCCAGUUCGGACUGCAGGCUGCAACUCGCCUGCACGAAGUCGGAAUUGCUAGUAAUCGUGGAUCAG